rnacentral:rRNA from 1 species
UACGGAGGGUGCAAGCGUUAUCCGGAUUCACUGGGUUUAAAGGGUGCGUAGGCGGUCCGAUAAGUCAGUGGUGAAAGCCCGCAGCUCAACUGCGGAAUUGCCAUUGAAACUGCCGGACUUGAAUCUGGUUGAAGUGGGCGGAAUAUAUCAUGUAGCGGUGAAAUGCUUAGAUAUGAUGUAGAACACCGAUUGCGAAGGCAGCUCACUAAGCCAACAUUGACGCUGAGGCACGAAAGCGUGGGGAGCGAACAGG